GAUGAACGCUGGCGGCGUGCCUAAUACAUGCAAGUCGAGCGAACGGACGAGAAGCUUGCUUCUCUGAUGUUAGCGGCGGACGGGUGAGUAACACGUGGAUAACCUACCUAUAAGACUGGGAUAACUUCGGGAAACCGGAGCUAAUACCGGAUAAUAUUUUGAACCGCAUGGUUCAAAAGUGAAAGACGGUCUUGCUGUCACUUAUAGAUGGAUCCGCGCUGCAUUAGCUAGUUGGUAAGGUAACGGCUUACCAAGGCAACGAUGCAUAGCCGACCUGAGAGGGUGAUCGGCCACACUGGAACUGAGACACGGUCCAGACUCCUACGGGAGGCAGCAGUAGGGAAUCUUCCGCAAUGGGCGAAAGCCUGACGGAGCAACGCCGCGUGAGUGAUGAGGGUCUUCGGAUCGUAAAACUCUGUUAUUAGGGAAGAACAUAUGUGUAAGUAACUGUGCACAUCUUGACGGUACCUAAUCAGAAAGCCACGGCUAACUACGUGCCAGCAGCCGCGGUAAUACGUAGGUGGCAAGCGUUAUCCGGAAUUAUUGGGCGUAAAGCGCGCGUAGGCGGUUUUUUAAGUCUGAUGUGAAAGCCCACGGCUCAACCGUGGAGGGUCAUUGGAAACUGGAAAACUUGAGUGCAGAAGAGGAAAGUGGAAUUCCAUGUGUAGCGGUGAAAUGCGCAGAGAUAUGGAGGAACACCAGUGGCGAAGGCGACUUUCUGGUCUGUAACUGACGCUGAUGUGCGAAAGCGAGGGGAUCAAACAGGAUUAGAUACCCUGGUAGUCCACGCCGUAAACGAUGAGUGCUAAGUGUUAGGGGGUUUCCGCCCCUUAGUGCUGCAGCUAACGCAUUAAGCACUCCGCCUGGGGAGUACGACCGCAAGGUUGAAACUCAAAGGAAUUGACGGGGACCCGCACAAGCGGUGGAGCAUGUGGUUUAAUUCGAAGCAACGCGAAGAACCUUACCAAAUCUUGACAUCCUUUGACAACUCUAGAGAUAGAGCCUUCCCCUUCGGGGGACAAAGUGACAGGUGGUGCAUGGUUGUCGUCAGCUCGUGUCGUGAGAUGUUGGGUUAAGUCCCGCAACGAGCGCAACCCUUAAGCUUAGUUGCCAUCAUUAAGUUGGGCACUCUAAGUUGACUGCCGGUGACAAACCGGAGGAAGGUGGGGAUGACGUCAAAUCAUCAUGCCCCUUAUGAUUUGGGCUACACACGUGCUACAAUGGACAAUACAAAGGGCAGCGAAACCGCGAGGUCAAGCAAAUCCCAUAAAGUUGUUCUCAGUUCGGAUUGUAGUCUGCAACUCGACUACAUGAAGCUGGAAUCGCUAGUAAUCGUAGAUCAGCAUGCUACGGUGAAUACGUUCCCGGGUCU
rnacentral:rRNA from 1 species